GAUUUUUGUAAGUUUGUUGCUCCCAUAAAGAGCAUGUGCACAAUAAAGUGUCAGCAUUUGGCCUAACUGGUGUUUGAUAAAAGAGAGAAAUAAAAUAGAUGCAUAAAUUUCAACUAAUCAAGCCAAGAGAACAGAGAAGAACAAAAUUAAAGCUUUGCCCACGCCGUCAUCUUUGCUACAGAUCUAUGACCUUACACAGUGCUAUAUCUCCUGAUGUUCUGCUUUAUGGAAAUAAUGACUAUGCACAGUGCUGGGUCCUGUGAUUUAUUUGUCUGUUUAGAUUAUAAAUUAAUACAUGAAUCGAUAAACUGGCGCUUGUUCCUAAAUAAAUCACCCAUUAACUGAGCUCAGUGACAAGCAUUUAGCAACUAUAUGCUGGGAAAACUAAAUAAUAAGGUAUGUACAGAGAGUAAUCUCUGCAAACAAAUACUGUCCAAAAAUAAUACGCUGAUGAUGGAUUUCUGGAUCUAUUUCACCCAAUAAAUAAAUAAAAUUUACCUGGCUAUACAAAUUGCAAUAAUUUACAACACCAAAAUAGUCUUGGAAAUAAAAAAAUAUAAACAUCAGUUAACUUCAACAAAUGCAAUCAAUAACAAAAGCCUGAUUUGACAAACGAGAAUACAUAUUUUUUUCUUUUCUUUCUUUCCCUUUAUUUCUGUGGAAAGAGAUCAAGCAAACUUCAAGAAUAAGAACUUCUUCACCAAAGGAAACUACAAAAAAGGGAAAGACCAGAAUACAAAAAUGCAAAACCUGUUUAAAAGCUCUAUACACAUGGAGGGUAAAAUGCCCACUGAACUCCUACCUGCUCAACUAAAAAUCGGCCCCUUCAUCAGUAGAUCAUGGAGCCCUGUUAAAGGUGACGUUCAUCCAAGAAACAAGCCUCUCAAACCUAUCUGACAGUACAAAUUAACCUACAAGAGCCUGAGGUAGUAAUUAAAGCCUACUUGACUAUUUAGAGGAGCCCCUUUCCACCAAUGUCUUCAUUUCCCCCAAAGCCUCUCACUUCAUAGCCUUAAAGAAGAACAAUAGCCUCUCACUUCAUAGAGAAGGCUUAAUAUCAUGCAAAUUCAUUAAUUUUGAAUAUAAAAUAUUCAACCUUUUUUAUCAUAGUCAUCUUGAUUUCCAGAGAUGAAUUAGAAAAACAUAGUACAACAACAGAGAUACUUUUUUUUUUUUUGAUAAGUAAAGGAAAUUGUAUUAAAACAAAGGCGAGAAGCUACAAAGCAUACAGGGGGUAUACAAAGCAACUAGCACCUCUCAAAACAAAAAGAAAACCAACAGAGCCUCACCACCCCUUAAUUGGACGCUAACCACUCCAAGAACCCUAUAAGGGAUAGACGUGCCUCUCCAAUAUACAAUCUAGCCUAACUCCAUAAAUUACAGACAAAAGAAUUCUUAAGCUUUUGAAUAUCUAACACUCCCCCCCUAAAAGCUAGUCUAUUUCUCUCCUUCCAAACCGUCCAAAAAAUACACAACGGUAUGGAUUUCCAUAUCUUUUUCCUUUUCUUCCCCACAAAAGGGCCCCUCUAGAUAGUUAAGACCUCCUUUAUAGUUUCUGGAAAGACCCACUGCACACUUGAUAACCCAAGGACAAUAUUCCACAGAACUUUGGCCACUAUACAGUGAAUAAGUAUAUGAUUUACAGUUUCUUCUUCACACCCACACAGAUAACAACAAUUAGGAAGCUGCCAUCCUCUUUUCUGGAGCCUAUCAAGAGUGAACACCCUCCCCCACGUAGCCUCCCAAGCAAAGAAUGCAACCUUGGUUGGAACUGUAGCCACCCAAAUACAACUUGACAGAACUACAAUAUCAUUGGGAUUGGCCAACAAUCUGUACACUUCUUUGACCCUAAACUUUCCGUUUCUUCCUCCCUUCCAACAGACUGAAUCUUCCUCCAUAGAGGGCUUGUAACCCCUCAGAAUAUAGAGCAAAUCCCCUAUCAUAUCCAACUCCCAAUCAUUAAAAUCCCUCAGAAAUCUUAGAUUCCAACCCCCUUGACUGAAAUUCUGAUCCCACAUCUCCUCCACAGUAGCAUUCCUAUGGGAAGCCAUAGCAAAUAGAUGAGGGAAAUUUUGGGACAGCGUUGUACCAGUGCACCAAACAUCAGUCCAAAAACUGAUUUUGCUUCCCUUCCCAGCUAUGAACACCAUGUUAUCCCAACACCAAUCAGUUUCCUUCAAAAUUUCCUUCCACACCCCUACUCCGAACGCCAUAAGCCCUCUUAGUUCUCCAACCAUGACCUUCUUGCCCGUAUUUCACCAUUAUCACUUGUUUCCAAAUAUUAUCUUUAUCACAAGCAAACCUUCAAAUCCAUUUACCAAGCAAAGCUUUGUUCAAGAGCGCUAGCUUCCUUAAAAUAGUGUUGGAAGUGUCUACCAUGUGUCAUGGGAGCUUCUUCCAUGAUGGAGAGAAGGAUCUUGAGUAGGAAAGAUGUAGGGUGCUCUUAAAGGAAGGGACCUCAAUUAGAGGAUGCUCUUAAAAAUCAUAUUGAUAUGGAAAACAUUUAUAAUAAUAAUUUGCAACUUGAUGCACAAUCAUGUAUAUCACUAGCUUUUUGGAAGCAACAAUGACUUUAGAGGUGGCAGAUAAUUUGGUAACAUUUGAAAAAGAAAUUAUAAUAAAACUUGAUUUCAACUAUUUAUAAAUACCACAAUAUAGAGAAAAGCAUCUACAUAUCCAAAAGACUAGGCAAUAACACAAUAAUCUCAAAACUAUUGUAAUUGUAUUAAUGAUCGCAUAUCAUUUAGAAAAACCAUACUUCUACACUUUUGUAUUCAAGAAACCAUUGCCUGUGUAAGCUCAAAUACCACUAAUUUUUCUUUUUGGUUCAAUUUGAUUGGAUACAACCCCACAAUUGCAACGGCCAUGGUAUCUUCGUUAGACACAAAGAUAAGAAUUUUCCCAAUAUCCACAUCCCCAUAACUUUGCUAAGGAUGAUAAGGAUAAAAAAAACCCAAACCAAUAGUUAAGUAAUAUAAUUAGCUAUAGGAAAUAAGUUCCAUCUCUGACUUUUAAUCACUCAUUUGUCUACCCCAAAACAACCACCAUAUCACAACAUAACUACCUCCUUCCCUAUCAUAAAUUUUCACAAUACAGAAUUAAAAUCAACAGUACAUCAAAAUCCCACAAAUCAACCCUACUACUAUCACUAGUGCUGCCAUAUGAGUCGUUUUUUAUUUUGGAUAAGAAGCAAAAUAAAUAUAUUAAGAUCCCUAUUUGAAUGCACACUGAAGUGCAUAGGCAGGGUAGGCCAUAUACAAAGCUACCAUUAUAAGUCAUAAUCACAUCAAAACCUUAAAUGGCAUAGUCACAUCAAAUUAGAGCCCUGUCUAAUCUAAUUGAGAAUCCAAUAAAAUCUCUUUAGGUCAACAUCUAAAAACAAUACCAGUUUGACAUUCCUCGAUCAAUAGUUUAGAACCCACUGAAGCAUUCUCAAAGGUUUUUUUUUUGCUAUCCAAAGAUAUUAAUCAAUGAUCAAAGCUAAGUUAUUGACAUAUGACAUUAAUAAUUCAGUAUGAUCAAUCAACUAAAUGAAACCAUCAGUUAAUGAAUAUUGAUCAUCUUUAAUUCUAACCUGACAAAAUCCCCAUUCUCUUUCAUUUCAGCAGAGCAAAUAUAUAAUUGGUAGUUUAACAGACUCAACCAGAGAGAAGCCUUAUCCUUAGAAGGCAGUGCCUAAAGGUGAGAAGAAUUCUCAACAAGCAGAGAGGAAGAAUAACACUAAUUCCUUCCAAAUAGAACAAUUAUGUCAAGAUUAUAGGGAAGUUAAACUAAC
rnacentral:lncRNA from 1 species